AAGGAGAAUGUCCUCUUGGAGGAGUGCGGUUAGCCCCGGUGUUAGGAGCAGCCUACCUGUGUCAAGAGCCUUUCCAUGUGCUGCUUUGAGAGUGUUUGGAACCGGCGCCCAUUCCCUGCCUCUACAGAAAUGGGCUGAGGCCGCCACUACUCCUAGCCCCUUGAUGAUUCAGGAAUGCCUCUACUGGCUGAGCACGCCCUCCGUCCCUCAGUGAUCCAGUCAGACAGGAAUUCAUCACUGAGCCACUACUCCGGACUCCCAGCUCCUAGUGAGUAUACUCCUGCUGAGCCAGCUCAUGUCCCUGCAGUGUAUCCAGUAAACUAAAUUUAGACCCUCGGGGACAACAGAGAAGGAGCCAUGUGGCCCAGAUCUCUGUCUUCGUGUGCGGUGGGCUAUAUGACAUGCUUGCCUUCUCCGAUCUGAAAAC
rnacentral:lncRNA from 1 species